rnacentral:rRNA from 1 species
GACGAACGCUGGCGGCGUGCUUAACACAUGCAAGUCGAACGGAAAGGCCCUGCUUUUGUGGGUUGCUCGAUUGGCGAACGGGUGAGUAACACGUGAGUAACCUGCCCUUGACUUUGGGAUAACUUCAGGAAACUGGGGCUAAUACCGGAUAGGAGCUCCUGCUGCAUGGUGGGGGUUGGAGAGUGUCGGCGGUUGGGGAUGGACUCGCGGCUUAUCCGCUUGUUGGUGGGGUAGGGGCUUACCAAGGCUUUGACGGAUAGCCUGCCUGAGAGGGUUAACGGCCACAUGGGGACUGAGGUACGGACCAGAAUCCAACGUGAGGCAGCAGUGGGGAAUAUUGCACAAUAGGCGGAAGCCUGAUACAGCGACGCCGCGUGCGGGAUGCCGGCCUUCGGGUUGUAAACCGAUUUCGCAUGUGACGAAGCGUGAGUGACGGUAAUGGGUAAAGAAGCACCGGCUAACUACGUG